CUCCAGGCACCGGGAAUAACAGAGCCCAGCUGAGAGCGCCUGCGCGGCCGUCGGUCUCGGGGGAGGUCAGAUUUGGGAAACUGGGGCCUGGGGGUUCCCCUGAGCAGGAGCGGUUCGCAGGCGUCAGUCCAGGCCCUGAAUGGCUGGUCUCCAGUUGGCCUCACAUCUGCCUGUGGGCGUUAUGCUCCCACAUAAUACAACAGAAGCUCCAGGGCCCCACUCAGCCAAGCAAGACUCUUACGAACAAGGUGACUCUUCCGAACAAGGUGACUCUUCCCAGCAGUCCCUGAAGGGGCACCUGAGGAACAGUUUCCAGAAGAAGCUUUUGAGCAACAAAGAGUUGACGCUGGAUAAAGUCUACCCUCACCCCAAAUGGAACACACACGUAAAAGCGCGGAGCUACUCCUAUCCCCACUGUACUGAAAUCAGCCAGCAAGAUCCAGGAAGUGAUUCCCAGGGCCAAGGAAAGUGUUCGUUUUACUCGUCAGGCCCUCAAUCCUGGUAUCCCAAAGCCAAUAACCAGGACUUUAUUCCCUUGACAAAGAAACGAGUUGGGGUGGACCGGGCGUACCCACUGAAACCUGUGGUCCAUCGGAAGUCGUGCAGUAUGGGUGAGGCUGGCAUGGAUGGGGACCAGAAUGUCUACCCAAGGCCCCCUGAGCUGAGAGCGUUUUCAUCCAGCAACCCUGGUGUGAGGGACCAGGUCAACUUUUCCGUGACUGGUACUGUUCUUGCUGCGGUGCAGGAGGAGAGGGCCGCGGUAAACUUCGAGAGGACUGAGCUGGUGCAGAUCCGAAGACUAGAAGCUGCAGGAGAGAACUUAGAGGAGGAAAUCCGGAGGAAGCAGAGUCUUCUGAGGGGAAAGCUGAAGAAGACAGAGGAGGAACUCAGAAAGAUCCAGAAGCAAAAGGAACAGGCCAAGGAAAAUGAAAACAGAGAGCUACAGAAAAUUAUGCUACCCAGGAGAAGAGUUAAAGGUAAUAAUAGCAACACCAUGUACAAACCUAUCUUCUCCCCAGACUCUGAGUUUCAGGAAGAAUUCGGUAGAGACAGGAGACAGGAUGAAGCUUGGGGAUGGUCUCAACAAAAUUCGAGUCCAUUCCAGCUCUCUGAUUAUAGAAUCCAGAGGCUCAAAAGGGAAAGGCUGGUGGCAAGCAAUAACAAAAUUCGAGACCGAGUCUCAGAGCCGUCGAUGGAGAAGUUCUCUCCGCCUUUAGAAACACCAGGCGGUUCUUUGCAGGGAUCCACCAGAAAUUCCAGCCUGUCCAUGGCACCAGACUCCUCAGGGUCCGGCGGCUCCAUUGAAGAGCCACAACUGGGCGAGUGCAGCCACUGUGGGCGCAAAUUCCUCUUGCUCAGGCUGGAGAGACACUCCACAGUCUGCAGCAGGAUGCGGGAGUCCAAGAGGAAAGUGUUCGACUCCUCCAGGGCCCGGGCUAAGGGCACAGAACUAGAGCAGUACUUGAACUGGAAGGGGCCAGCUUCAGCCAAGGCUGAACCUCCUCGGAAGAGCAACUGGAGACAGAAGCACGAAUAUUUUAUCCGUACCCUCCGCCAGGCUCGAGAGGUCCAGCAGAGAUCCUUGUUCUGACGCCUGGUAUUUUUCAAGGAUAAAUGUAAAGAAGGGUUAAUUAUCACCUGCUGUGCUGGCCUGGGGACUAACCAGGUCAUGCUGAGAUCCUAGGGAAGCAGAACUACUGUUACCAAAAGCCUAAAAGAGGACCUGGACAUGAAGGAGGCCAGCAAGUACAGUUCAGAGAAGUACAGGAACAUCAAGAGAUUCAGCCCAUAUUUGCUUUGAUCUAUCUACUGAGUUAACCCAAGCUUCUUCUUCAGAGACUCUGGCAUUUCGGGUGGAGGAGGGCAAGGGAGCCUGAAGUAGACCUUCACGGAGACAGAUAAACCACUGUAGUACAGUCAGGGUACCAAUCAUGAUGAUACGGGCAAACAGUCCCUUCCAUACACCUUUAAAUCCAAGUCUCUGGAGGAUCUGAGAAGCACUGCUACCUUUUUCUUUAUUCAACACAGAUACCACAGAAUCAGCAGGGUGAGAAACAACUGCACAAAAGACUCCAGCUAUGUAACCUGCUACAAAUGUUACAACCGGCUGCUCUGGCUUUGAACAUUCACUGCAGGACUUAGGAACCACAAACUUGUACAGUGCUUCAACAGUACUUUCAAAGCAGGUGAACUUCAUCAUGGUGUAUGGUAACUGCCUCAUUCAGAGAGGAGCAUCCCCCUUGUAGAAUGCUUUUAGGCCUUCUUCCUUAUACAUUUUGGGAGCUGCAUCCCUCAAAGUGUUGGCAUAAACUGGCUGGGGUUGAAU